rnacentral:rRNA from 1 species
CCUACGGGAGGCAGCAGUGAGGAAUAUUGGUCAAUGGACGAGAGUCUGAACCAGCCAAGUAGCGUGAAGGAUGACUGCCCUAUGGGUUGUAAACUUCUUUUAUAUGGGAAUAAAAUGUUCCACGUGUGGGAUUUUGUAUGUACCAUAUGAAUAAGGAUCGGCUAAAUCCGUCCCAGCAGCCGCGGUAAUACGGAGGAUCCGAGCGUUAUCCGGAUUUAUUGGGUUUAAAGGGAGCGUAGGUGGAUUGUUAAGUCAGUUGUGAAAGUUUGGGGCUUAACCGUAAAAUUGCAGUUGAAACUGGCAGUCUUGAGUACAGUAGAGGUGGGCAGAAUUCGUGGUGUAGCGGUGAAAUGCUUAGAGAUCACGAAGAACUCCGAUUGCGAAGGCAGUUCACUGGAAUGCAACUGACACUGAGGCUCGAAAGUGUGGGUAUCAAACAGGAUUAGAUACCCGUGUAGUC